ensembl:lncRNA
GUGACAAUGUAUGGAAACUGAUACAUUUUUUUCUGUAAAUAGAAAGUUUUUCCUGAAUGUACAUUUACUUUUGAUAAAUUUAAUGUAUUUUUGCUAAAUAAAAGUAUUAAUAACUUUAAUAUAUAUAUAUAUACCCUAAAUGUUUGAAAGCUAGUGUAUUCAAACUUAUGUCAUAUUUGGCUUCAACACAUGCAAACCAUUUUCCACUAAAGAAAUCAAAUCUACUAUAAUAACCAUGUCAGUUUGCCCUUUUUUUUCUAAAUGUGAAUUAGAUUUCUGAGUGAACAACUUAAAUUUCAUUCUGUUCCACAUACAAAGCUAUCAUACAGCUUCAGAAGACAUGGAAUACAGUGCAUGGGUCUGGUUUUAUGGUGAUUUUUAUUGUCCUUUUUGGAGCUUGACUAUGAUGGCCCAGUAGUCCACAACAAAAUGAAAUAUGCACAACAAUGUAAUACUUGGCCUAAAUAAGGCAGGCUACACAAAUAAAACUUUCCUUUUACCCCUUUAAAAAGCUUGUUUGAAUGAGUGAAGACACAAUAAAUGCCACAGGUAUCAAGGUUGAAUGCCAAACCAAGGUGUGUUAAAUGAAUAGACACCGAAAAAUUUAUACAAUUUAUACAAAAAAUUAAUGAGCAUUCAUUCGAACUUUCUUUUAAAGUCCAAUGUUAUGUGUGUGUGUGUGCAUGUGUGUUUGUUUUGAGUUCAGCCUCACUGGUGAAGUAUACUGAGUCCAAGAGCAUGUAGAGGAACACCGCUGUCUUGUGACGAAAUCCAAGAUAAAUAGUCCAACAAAGUUCGGCUAUUCCACAAGGAGAAUCCCAAAAGUCACAGAAAAAAAAGAAAAAAAAAAGAAAAGAAAAAACAGCAGAGUGUAUGAGACGAUUGAUCGUUGAUUAUAUUCCAAAAUGAGCACCCUGAGCGUUGUUGCUAAACGCCGAUAAACAAAACGCUUUUUUUAUUGGAAGUGUAAAAUCUGCUGAUUCUCUAAUGAGAAAAACAGGGUCCAGCAUACAGUGUAUUUUAUUGGCCCUGUUUUACUUUUUAUUUCAGCUGGGCCCUCCCACUUGGGCGCUAGCUUGUCAGAGAAUUUGUUAGAGGCACUGGAAAGAGGAUGGGUUUUUGACCAAACUCAGUUACCCAUUUUUUCUAUGGUAAUAAUAAUACCUAGCUUGUUUGGCUUGGCUCAUCCUCAUCCUGUUUUUCACCUCCACCAGGAUGUUCUGUUGUUCCACCAGGGAAUACGCAGCCUGAUCAGGUGAAGGUGGUCGGUGGAUUAGGCGUUCCAGUGGUCCCAGCACUUGCCUACCCAGCAUGAGCUCCGCAGGUGUCUUCCCCACUCUUUCCGUCUGGGUGGUCUUAAUGGCAUAGCGGAAUUCUGGUAGCCACUGGUCCUAGGUUUGAUGUGGUUGUCCAACGUAGGCAGCAAUCAUUGUUUUUACAGUCCGAUUGAUUCUUUCAGUUAAUCUCUGAACACAACCCAAUGUCUUGCACAGAUCACCCAAAAUGCUGGAGGUGAACUGGGGACCCCUGUCGGACACCAGUUACUUAGGGACUCCCCAACGAGUAAAAAUCUCCUCGCAGAGGAUUUUCACUAUUUUCUUGGCAUCCCUAAGUGGAAACAUCUCCAUAAUCAACAAUGACAAGGAGGUAGGUGUUCUGUUUUUUUGCUGGUGAGGAAUAGACCCAUUAGAUCCAUCCCUAGGGUGUGUUCAGGCUCUGUUGUCAAGUGAUGAGAAGAAAUUGAGAGGCAAGUGGCAGCAUUAGUAAAAGGUGACUCGUAUACCCGGGUUAACACAUCUGGACCCAUGUUGAGGCAGCACUACCUGUGAUGGACUUGAAAGUUGAGUUGUUGCAGUCGGAGAGUGAGGCAUGAAGAGGUUUUGGGGCAGUUGAAGGCCCAGGCGCGUGCAGCAUGAUCCGUAAAGACAUCAAAUGACCUCCCUUCCAGGUCUGUGAAGCAUAUGCCACCACCUUUCCUCCUUCAGAAGAGUGUUGAGUGAGGAUAGGACCCAGUCCUACAUCGCUCGCAUCUAUGUGAAGGUUCUGUUGAUGUCUGUUUGGAUAAGUACUGGUGAGUUCCGUGAUGCUUGUUUAAGCAUCCAUGCUAUCUUGACACUCUGGAGUCCACUCCCACUUAACUCCUUUCUUUUUAAGGUGGUUUAGUGGAGCAGCAAUGUCAGUAAAGUGGGGUAUGAACUUAUGAUACCACCCUGCCAAGCCCAGAAAUCUUUGCAGAGCUUUAAGUUCCUGCAGUGGGGGGAACUCUGCAACAGCCCUGGUCUUCUCUCAGUCAAUCUCUACACCCCCUUCGGAGACUAUAUGGUCGAGGAACUUGAGCUGUUCUUUGAAGAAGUGGCAUUUCUUCAUAUUCAGGGUCAAGUUGGCCUGGGUAAAUUUAUGGAAGACAGUGUUGAGAGGUUGAAUGUGCUGCUAUAAUGUCUUUGAAUAGAUGAUGAUAUCAUCAAUUUAGACGAAACUGAUCUUCCCCCUCAAGUCAGCCAGAACUCUCUCCAUCAAACGCUGGAAGGUGGCUGCAGAGUUUCUGAGUCCAUAUGACAUAGAAUUGAAUUGAAAUAGCCCCUUGGUGGUAAUAAAAGUGGUCUUCUCUUUACUCGCCUCAUGCAUCUCCACUUGCCAGUAUCCGAACCGCAGAUCCAAUGCACUGAACCAGGAGGCACCUUCCAGGGAUUCUAGGAUGUCAUGAAUCAAAGGCAUUGGGUACAGUCUUGAGAGUGGGUCCCUUCAGGACUGUACUCAGAGUUCGGAUGAGCUCAACGCUGGGGAGUGGCCUAAUCUCCAGAAAGUUCUCACAUUGCUUGAUGAAGCACUUGAGCACUUCUGCAGUCUUACAGGAGUCCCCAAAAGAGGGGAACUCAAGGGAAUGGGAGACCGAGCACAAAAUGAGGAUGAGCCAGCCAUAACUGAGGAGGUAAGCACAUUAGGUGGGUGAGUAGUAAGUAGUAUUUUGAGCUUUAUGAGUUGGAACUUUCUCUUUAACAAGCAGCAUUGGGGUCUGUGGACAAUGGACAGGAGAAAUGUGUGAGGAAGCUGGUGAUUAGGCCUGUAAUCUGGAGAGUGUGGGAGUACUGGUAAAUCUUUUUUUUUUUACUUUCCCAUUUAGCAUCUCUCCUUGCAUUGUUUGUACCAUUCGAAUAUUUAAAGUACAACUCCCUUCAUCAUCAUCAGACUGUUCAGAAUCAGAAAUGUACAAUGACCUAAGCAUAUAUGUUUUUUUAAGCAGUAGGAUUUGCCUAGUUACAAAUGGGCCUGGUGUAAAAUCCACGUCUGGUUGUUCAACAUUCUCUUGGUCAUUUACAGGUGUACAUGGGUUAUCUGUAUUCACAGUGUUCACAACAUUGACAUCAGUAACUGGAUCAGUAUUAGGUACAUCCAUCCUGAUAAUUACACAAAUCCAAACAAACACAAAAAAAAGAGAUCCCCGUACGGGCCACCAACAUGUAACACUCGGCCUAAAUACACCAAUAUAUAACACUCAGCCUUUCCUUUUACCUCUUUAAAAAUCUUGUUUGAAUGAGUGAAUACCAUAGACUGUAUAAAAACAUGGACAUAGUGUCUGUGAUGUCACCCGUAGGUUUCUGAAGAGUGUUUUUGAAGCUCAUCUUGGCAGCGCGUCACUCCCAGAUUAUUGAAAAUGGGCAAAGAGGCGGGAGCUGGUUGCUGAAACCACACCCACCUAACUCGACGGUGUUGACAGCAGCGGCAAUCCACCUGUCAGUCAAGUGGCCACGCCCUUAAUUAUGUACAAAUUCACCUCUCUCACAGUUGUCAUGAAUGGCAAAAUUAGCUCAAUAAACCAGGCUGAAAAACAUAUUUUUUUGUGCUGUAAAGUUGGGCAUUUUGACAUGGGGAGUCUAUGGGACUGACUCCCAUUUGGAGCCAGCCUCUAGCGGCCGGUUGAUGAAUUGCAGUUUUAGUCACUUCCAUGUUGGUUUCAGAGAGAGAACGGCCCUGCUUUCCAUUCGGAAGGGCUCAUUCCUAUGCCCUAAUCCCUUCAAAGGGUUUACCCUCUGGAGUGAGAGCUUGAAGGGUUGAGGGUGUAGGGGACCAAACAACUGUUUCUUGAAGUGCCCUUCUGUGUCAUCAUGCAAAGAAUCUGGCAAAGAAUCAUGGGAGCCCGAAGUGUCCAUCAGUUGUACCCUCUGAAGUGGCCAGUUUUGAGCACUUCGGUUUGGAAUGACCAUUCAGUAUUGCAGCCAUGAUUGUUUCCACUCUGAAGUGCCCUUCGGAGGGCGAUAUAUCCCAUUUGGAAUGCACCGCCGAAGGUUGCCACUUGGUGAAUACACAAUAAACGCCACAGGUAUCAAGAUUGAAUGCCAACCCAAAGUGUAUUAAAUGAAAAGACACUGAAAAACGAUAUACAAUAUCUACAAUAAAUGAAUGGGUGUGCAUUUGUACUGUCCUUUAAAGUCCAAUGUUGUGUGCGUGUGUACGCUUGUGUGUGUUUUCGGUUAGGCCUCACCGGUGAAGCAUAUGGUC